UUUGGAACUGAAGUUUUAAGAGCAUGUGAUCAAACACUUGAGAAUAUUCCUAGAGACUGAAUCUUCUCCAGGUAUAUGCAUGGGCCACAUGAGCUAAUGUACCAAACAGGUGAAUGUGCUUGAGGGGUAGAAAAGAAUGAAGAUACCCAACAAGAAUGACCAAAAGUCAAUACUGUCUUUGCUAUGACCAGUUUCUGGAGAAGGAAGCCAUAUCUAUUUCCUAGAGAAGAAAUGUUCAUGUGUCCGUGAAAGGAAGAGAUGAUUAAAGCUGCAGUACAGGAGACUGUCUUCCCUUAGAAAGUGAGCUGGGAGGAGAAAGUCAAUACUAAGGAAUCUUCUGAAUACUGAAGGAGUACGUUGCCAGGGUAACAGAGUGUAAGCAGGAGAACAGCACCUUGCAGAUCACAAAGGCAAAUCUGCAGAAAGAAAUUUCAAGCACAACAGUAAGAAAACACUUCGAGCUGAAGCUGACCAUGCAAGAGAACAGCUGCAUGCAAGACAGGACAACAGCGUUCUUAGCAAAUUGGGCAUGAGUCCUAUAACUUCAUAUAUUUUCUUAUAUCUCCAGGUUCAGAUUGCUUUCAGUCCUAUGGAAGCAUUCAUAAUAAGAUGCUUGGACUCUUGUUAACACUAAUGUCUGUUUAAGCAUAUGAACAAACAAGUUUUAAAAUGUAGAAAGUCAGAAGGAUUAUUAUCUGUUCUUUGUGGAAAUUGAUGGGGAAGCCCAAGGCAAGAUGGCAGAAUCUGCACUUGUAGGUGGGACAGUAGUUAUUCACUGUCUCAACAUAAAAGGGUUUAUCUUUGCACUGAUUUA